rnacentral:rRNA from 1 species
AUUGAACGCUGGCGGCAGGCUUAACACAUGCAAGUCGAGCGGGGGAAGGUAGCUUGCUACUGGACCUAGCGGCGGACGGGUGAGUAAUGCUUAGGAAUCUGCCUAUUAGUGGGGGACGACAUCUCGAAAGGGAUGCUAAUACCGCAUACGUCCUACGGGAGAAAGCAGGGGAUCUUCGGACCUUGCGCUAAUAGAUGAGCCUAAGUCGGAUUAGCUAGUUGGUGGGGUAAAGGCCUACCAAGGCGACGAUCUGUAGCGGGUCUGAGAGGAUGAUCCGCCACACUGGGACUGAGACACGGCCCAGACUCCUACGGGAGGCAGCAGUGGGGAAUGUUGGACAAUGGGGGGAACCCUGAUCCAGCCAUGCCGCGUGUGUGAAGAAGGCCUUAUGAUUGUAAAGCACUUUAAGCGAGGAGGAGGCUACUUUAGUUAAUACCUAGAGAUAGUGGACGUUACUCGCAGAAUAAGCACCGGCUAACUCUGUGCCAGCAGCCGCCGUAA